UACAGAGGGGGCAAGCGUUGUUCGGAAUUACUGGGCGUAAAGGGCGCGUAGGCGGCCCGCUAAGUCGAACGUGAAAUCCCUGGGCUCAACCCAGGAACUGCGUCCGAUACUGGUGGGCUUGAAUCCGGGAGAGGGAUGUGGAAUUCCAGGUGUAGCGGUGAAAUGCGUAGAUAUCUGGAGGAACACCGGUGGCGAAGGCGACAUCCUGGACCGGUAUUGACGCUGAGGCGCGAAAGCCAGGGGAGCAAACGGG
rnacentral:rRNA from 1 species